AGAGCAAAUCCAUUGUGAUGCCCCCUCCCUCCCCCCCACAGCCUGUGUCAGUUUAACUUUUUCACAAACAAAAGCUAAGGCACAAAAGAAAGCCUCAGUGGUUACUGUACCCAGCGGCUCCGAGGGUGGGGCUGUCAGAUUUUCUCUCUUUUACAGCAGAUUGGCUCCCAGGCAGGUGGGAACAGGUCUAGCAAAAGUAGCGCUCCCAUUCUGGUCUGGACAAGGUGGCUUAGCGUCUUUUUGUCUGUUGUUCAUUGAGUGUUGUUUGAACCAUGGAAAUAGCAUCGGAGACUGGCAAAGAAGGCUGAUGGAAGGUGGGGGGUAGGGAUGAGAGAGAGAGAGAGAGAGAGAGAGAGAGAAGCUGAUCUGAAACCUGAGGCUAGGAAAAACAGCUGAGGAAGGUGGGUCAGGUGGGUGGGUCUUCCUCAGGGGCCCUGCCUCCUCUCUGGGUGUGGCUCACUGGGUGUAUCUUUCCAGGUACAACUCUCAAGAUGACCCCCACAGAUGGGUCAUCUGGUGUGUUCCUGUGUAGAUAGGCCGGCCGUGCUGUUGGGAAUUCCAGAGUGGAAUUAAAAGCUACCUCUCCUUGGAUGGUCUCUUGACCUCGCUGUUGGAGGUGGGGCCUUUGUUUCUUACACCGGAAGCCCCUUUAGCUCAACUGGCUGGAACAUCCCCCCGCCUCGUGGAGGGCUAGCUGAUUCACUCGGCCCCCAGUCACCAGGAGCAGCCCGUGGAAGUACCAGAAGAACCAGAUAAACCACAUAUGGACAAAAGCAGCGCAGGAAAAGGCUUCAGAAACGAGACCUCUUGCAGAGCCCUGGCCCCCAUACAGGCUGCGACCUGCCUGCUCUGCCUGAUGGAGACUGGCUGGCUGCUGAAAUAAAACAGCAGCACUCUGCUGCUUCUUAAUGUAAUAGGAAAUGUGUCAGUGACACAACAACAACAACGAAAAUCACUCAUCAUUCCCCCAAACCAGGCAAAUUGGAACUUGAGCAUGGAAAGAAAAUCAGCCGGUGUCAACAGAGUUAAGUCAGGUGUUGGAGUCGUUGGGAAGGAUUUUCAAGUAGCCAUCCUACAAAUGCUUCAAUAAGCAAUUAGAGACUCCCUUGAAACACAUUUCAAAAUAGAACGUCGUAGGCAAGAAAUAGAAGCAGUAAGUAUUUAUUUAAAAACGAUGCCACGCACACAGCAGAUAUAUGAAAGAGAGUUAUUGGAUGGAGGUGGAGAGACAGAGAGGGAAAGGAGAAAGAGAGAGACAUGGUGGGGGUCCCAGGAAAGAAAGCGAGGUGGAGAGAGCAAGAGAGGAGAGGAAGAGAGGAAGAGAGAGACUAAGUGGUGGGUUGGUCCUUUUGUAGCUUGUGCAUGCUCAGUUGAACCAGGCCUGCCACACACCUGGUGGGCGACACAUGAUGACGUCAUAGGUUACCAGGCAACCCAGAAGCAGGCUGCCUAUACGCUAACAGAAGCUAAAGGGUUGGGGAGACUAUUGUGCAGACAAGGUUCCUCCUCUGCAAGCAGGAGGGCUUGAUGGCCUCUUCUGGAUGUGUUUUAAUGCCUCUGAAAUCCCAGCAUGCCUAGGGGAGCUGGGAGUGGAGACGGAAAACUCUGGAAGCUUGCGGGACAGCUAGCCCAGGAGAUGCAUGCAGUGACCAAGAACGAGAGAGACUCCAUCUGGAAAAAGAACAAAGAAAAAAGAAAAAGAAAAAGAGCAAAGACCAGCACCCCAGGUGGUCCUCCACACAUGCUCCUGCAUCCAAACUUCGUACCAAAAAGAACGAAGUUGUUUCUUUCUUCAACCCUCCAAGGGUCCGUUUUAUUACUUUAUUUACUUGUUUAAAUCUUAGUUAUAGAUUUAAAUAAGUAAAGUCUUAGGAUUUCUACUGCUGUGAUAAAACACAUAACCAAAACCAACUUUGAGAGGGAAAAGGGCUUAUUUUUCUGAAUCUUCCACACUGAAGGAAGUCAUAGUGGGAACUCAAGCAGGGCAGGAACCCAGAGGCAGGAGCUGAUGCAGAGGCCAUGGAUGGUGCUGCUUACUGCUUUCUCCUCAUGGCUUGCUCAGCCUGUCUUCUUAUAGAACCCAGGACCACCAGCCCAGGGCUGGCUCCACCCACAGUGGGCUGGGCCCUCCCUCAUCAAGCACAGUUAACCAAAGGUCCUAGUCAUAUCCCUGCAUUCUGAUCUUGGGAAGCAUUUUCUUAAUUGGCGUUCUCCUCAGAUGGCUCUAGCUUGUGUCAGGUUGACAUAAAGCUAGCCUGCACAGUAUGUGUGUGUGAUGCGUAUAUCCAGGCACACACGCCAUGGGUGUGCAGGUCAUGGAGGUCAAAGGCAACUGUUGAGUCAUUUCUCCUCUUUCUCCCCUAUGUGCGUCCCAGGGACUAAACACUGGUUGUAAGGCUUGCAAGGCAAGUCCUUUUUGCCAGCUGAGCCAUUUCCCCACCCCUCUAAUUGUUUUAGCCCCUAAGUUGUUAAGAUUUCACAAAUAAUUUUCAUAGUUUUUUAUAUGGUCAGUUAAUUUGGGGGGCAUGUAUAAGUUCUUGCUUUCUAUUUAGUAAAAUCAAUCUUUCUCACUCAUGUUUUAUUACCUUACUGUUAUAAUUUGACUAUGUAACUUUGCAUCUCAUAACUAUACUUUUAUAUAUAAUUACUUUGAAUACACAUGUAUGUGCUGGUGAUCUAGCCCAGGACUUCAUACAUGUUAGGUAAGUGCUCUCUCACUGUGCUACACCCUCCUUAUUCUAUCUUUUUAAUAUUUAAAAUUCAAAUUUAGUUAGAAUUAGUUUUGCCACAUGACAAAAAUUAUGAAUCAGUUCAAAUCUGAAUCAAUCUCUCUCUUUGCUUUUCAAGACGGGGUUUCUCUGUGCAACAGCCCUGGCUGUCUUGGAACUCACUCUGUAGACCAUGCUGGCCUCGAACUCUCAGAGAUCAACCUGCCUCUGCUUCCCGAGUGCUGGGAAUAAAGGCGUGUGUCACCAUGCCCAAUGAGUCAGUUUCUCAGUAACACUCAUUAAUUUUACCCUACCUGUGAGAGAGGGGUAUGUGUGUGUAUGUAUGGGGUGUCUGUGUGUGUGCGUGUAUGUUGUAUGUGUAGGUAUGGUGUGUGUGGUGUGUAUGUGUAUGGUGUGUACAUGUAUGUUAUAUGUGUAUAUAUGGUGUGUAUGUAGCGUGUGUGUAUAGUGCAUGUGAUAUGUAUGUGUAUGAUGUAUAUAGACUACAAACAUAGCUAAAACAACCUUUUAUGUGUGGAUGUAUGGUGUGUGUAUGUAUAUGUGUAUGUGGUCGUGUGAUUAUGUAUGGUGUGCGUGUGUGUAUGUGUGUGUGCACGUGUGUGUACCGUUGUGUGCAGAUGCCAUAAUGUGCAUGUGUGGAGGUCAGAGGAAAAACUCAAGCGUUUCUCUUUGCCUUCAUCUUCUUUGCGACAGGGUCUCUUGCUCAUCUCUGCCGUGCACUAGGCUGUUUGGCUUAGAGGGUCCUGGGGAGGAUCCUGUCUCCAAUGGCCUUGCUGCAGAAGUGCUGGGGUUACAGACCAAUGCUACCACAUCUGCUUUACAUAGGUUCUGGGCACUCGGACUCUAGUUCUCACAUUUGCAUGACAGGUAUUUCCCCAUUAAGCCACCACCUCAGUCACAAACCAUAGUUUUAAGAAACUCAUCAGACAUCUGGGGUUAUGAGAAAUGAUGAGACACUGAACUUCAGAAAGUGGGUGAAGGUCAGGACAGCUUCCAUCUUGGAAGAACGGUGAGGGAGGGAGGAAAGUCUGCUGCAGGGGAGGAGGAGGCAGCCUGCACUGUUGGGCUUUGUGUUGAGACAGGGUCUCGCUGUGUAGCCUUGGCUGGUGUGGAACUUGUGUGUGGACCAGGCUGACCUUGAACCCACAGAGAACCUACUCCAGCUUCUACUGCCCAAGCUCUGGGACUAAAGGUGUGCGCCAGCACCAUGACUGCUGACAGCCAUGCGCUGUGUAGCCCCAUGUGGCUGGGUAGCACCCUGAGCAGACGCUGCAAGGAGAGUCCCUGUGGUCUGCCGACUUCAGAGGGCUAAAACCAAAUGUGGCUUCUCUCUACACGGCUGUGGCUGCAUCGGAAAAAGGGCUGUUUCCCUGGGAGUGUGUGUCAUUAACUUCAGUCUCAACUAUUAUUUUACAGGCAGAAUCUGGUAUGGAGAACCAGUCGUGAGGCCACAAAGAAAUGAUAGAUGGCCACAGCCAAGAGGGGAAGUAAUGUACAACAACAGAAGUGGGCCCAGAUGUUAGACUUCUCAGACAGGUGUGAAGACAGUUAUGAAACAUAUGUUAAAGGAUUCAGUGGCAGAGAGAGACAACAUGCAUGAAUCUGCUUCAGGCAUUUUAACAGAGAUAUGGGAACUGUAACAAGCUACAAUUUCCUCAGAACUCUGGUCAGGACACUUAAGAUUUUGAACCAAAAUAAAGGGGUUCCAGAGCAGGAAGUAAUAAACUCUUUUACUCUC